GAUCAUGGCUUAGGAUGAACGCUAGCUACAGGCUUAACACAUGCAAGUCGAGGGGCAGCAUGAACUUAGCUUGCUAAGUUUGAUGGCGACCGGCGCACGGGUGAGUAACACGUAUCCAACCUUCCCGUUACUCUGGAAUAGCCUUUCGAAAGAAAGAUUAAUACCGGAUAGUAUCGAGAGAUUGCAUGAUUACCCGAUUAAAGAUUCAUCGGUAACGGAUGGGGAUGCGUUCCAUUAGGCAG
rnacentral:rRNA from 1 species